ensembl:miRNA
GUAUUAUAUUGGUGCAAAAGUAAUUGCAGUUUUUGCCAUUACUUUUAAUAACAAACACUGCAAUUACUUUUGCACCAACCUACAUAUU